UUGUGGAAAACGCGCCAGAACUUGGACAGCUUUUGUGCUGGUGAAGGAGAGAGAGUCGGUUAACACUGCGUGUACUGAUCGUGCCCCGUGCUGCUCUUUAUAGACCAUUAAAGUGCAGAUCCUUCCUGAAGCCUGGUGUGAC